UGUGGGAGCGAGCUUGCUCGCGAUAGCGUCGGUUCAGCCGUACCAAGGGUGCCUGACACACCGCCAUCGCGAGCAAGCUCGCUCCCACA
rnacentral:misc_RNA from 1 species